rnacentral:rRNA from 1 species
GAUGAACGCUAGCGGCAGGCCUAACACAUGCAAGUCGAGGGAGAAGCCCUUCGGGGCAGAAACCGGCGCACGGGUGCGUAACGCGUAUGCAACCUACCUUUCACAGGGGGAUAGCCCGAAGAAAUUUGGAUUAAUACCCCAUAAUAUUAUUGGAUGGCAUCAUUUGAUAAUUAAAAUUACGAUGGUGAAAGAUGGGCAUGCGUCCUAUUAGCUAGUUGGAGUGGUAACGGCACCCCAAGGCUACGAUAGGUAGGGGUCCUGAGAGGGAGAUCCCCCACACUGGUACUGAGACAGGGACCAGACUCCUACGGGAGGCAGCAGUGAGGAAUAUUGGUCAAUGGUCGGAAGACUGAACCAGCCAUGCCGCGUGCAGGAAGAAUGCCUUAUGGGUUGUAAACUGCUUUUAUAUGGGAAGAAUAAGGAGUACGCGUA